ensembl:lncRNA
UGCGUUAUCAUCCUUACUGCUUCUGAUCUGUGUACUGCGUUUGUAAAUGAUGUCUGAUUGUUGGAGUGUGCCCGUCUGUCUGUAAAUACAUUUAAAUCAGGAGGUCUGGUUUGCUUAAUAUAAGGAAUUUUAUGUAUAGCAUUUAGUUUUACUUUGUACUUUUACUCAAGUUAAAACAUUUAGUACUUUUUCCACCACUGUACUUUUUACGGGAAAAUGUGCCCUUGCGAUUGGGCCAGUCAGGCAACAGUGAUCCAAUCAGCGGAACAUCUGCCUCUACGAUCACUUUGCUGAGAGAUGUUUGGAGAUUCAGGGCAAGUCAAUCCUUUUGAAGUUCCAGUCUCUGCCCAUGCUGGGAAGUUCUACGACACGUCGCAGUUGCAAAUGAGAACUUGUUCUCAACUAGCCUACCUGGUUAAAUAAAGGUCUGCCAGGGAUCACAUCUGGGUUGGGUUGAAUUAUGA